rnacentral:lncRNA from 1 species
AGGAAAACUGCCCAGGGUGGAUGAGGUCUCUUCCGUGCUCACCCACAUUAUAUAGCAAUUAAGGGACUCCAAAAAUGCUCCACCCUGAAUUUUAUACUCUAGGAAUAACUGGAAUCACUGAGCUCAAGCAGUACAAGACAUCCUGUUCUAGGAGGAAUGAGGAUAUAGCCUGAGCUGUUUUAGACAGUUCUUCCUUGCCUCGGGACGUUGCAUUCUAAGUGUAUUCUACAGUUAUUCUGAUAACUGUAAGCAGGAGGCUGGGGGGAGCCGCAAACGCCAAGGCCAUUCAGGACCCAUCCUCUUACAGCAACCUUAAAAGACAUCAGGAGGAGAGAUACACCUUCUAGUCUGGGGGCUCAGGGUGAGAGGAGGGGCAGCUCCGGAGUCAGGCCCCAGAUGGCUGGUGCCAGGGGGUGGCAGAAUACCAUGAAUGUGAAGAGCCAGUUUUACUCCUAUAUCAUCUCCAGUGUGCUGAUGAGGAAACCAUGGCACAAAGAGGUUAAAUAACCUGUAAAUAAAUAAAGAAUCUGAGCUGAGCUUCAAACGUGGGCAGUCUGGCUUCAGGUCCCUGGUUUCCACCACUGUACAACACUGCCUCUCAUUACCCAGGAUGCACCUAAGACUCCCAGAAAUGGGGGCUGGGGCACAAAAGCAGCAGUGGUGGGAAGUGGAAGAAGCAAGCCAGCAGGAUACUUCAGUGGCACUAGACAGUGGAGAUGCCACCCCCAUUACACAUGGGUCCACUCUCUACCUUGCACUGGACUCUGUCUCUUACCACAGGCUUAAAAUCUUCCAGGGCCAGAGCUCUGCCUUAGUUAUCUUGACACAUCCACAACCCAAGCAUGAUGUCUUGUGCAUACAAAGAGCUGAGUGAACGCUAGAUACAUUAAAUUGCUAGAAAUUAUUAAUAAAAUCUUUAUGGUUGAGCAUGUUUUUGUCUUGGAGCACUCUGAAGGGUGCAUUUCUCAAAGAGGCAUGUAAUGACACCAGGAAUGGAGCUGUUUGGGUCACAGCUCUCUUCUGCUGGGACCAAUCCCAGUUUCUUG